rnacentral:rRNA from 1 species
CACGUAGUUAGCCGGGGCUUCUUGGUCGGGUACCGUCCGCGGCUCUCGCGAACCGUGUUUCUUCCCCGCUGACAGAGCUUUACGCGCCGAAACGCUUCUUCACUCACGCGGCGUCGCCGCAUCAGGGUUUCCCCCAUUGUGCAAUAUUCCCCACUGCUGCCUCCCGUAGGAGUUUGGGCCGUGUCUCAGUCCCAAUGUGGCCGUCCGCCCUCUCAGGCCGGCUACUGAUCGUCGCCUUGGUGGGCCGUUACCCCGCCAACCAGCUAAUCAGACGCGGGUCCAUCCCGUACCACCGGAGUUUUCAAGAAGGAACAUGCGUCCCCUUCUGUUAUGCGGUAUUAGCACCUGUUUCCAGGUGUUAUCCCCCGGUACGGGGCAGGGUUCCCCACGCGUUACUCACCCGUCCGCCACUAAGGCCCGCGCCUUCCGGGUCUGGUAAACCAUCCCCCUUCCGCCGCUGGCCCCCCGUUCGACCUUGCAUGUGUUAGGCACGCCGCCAGCGUUCAUCCUGAGCCAGGAUCAAACUCU